CCAUUUUUAUUGCACAGAUUGACUUGGAUUCCCUGAAAGAAGGAAAGCCAAAAAUUUCCUCUGGAGGGGGCCCAGCUAAGAAGAGAAGGAAAGAAGGUCAAGUGGAGAACCGCUGGACACACUGCUGAGAGACAGAUCUUUUCACUUGGAAACUGUGAUUUAUCCAUCCUUAUUGUAAGAAGAUGGCUGUCCUUGUUCCAAAAGGCUGUCCUCUGUGUGAGGAAUGAUUGUGUGACCAAUGCCAAUGGUGAGCUGAAAACUUGUUUCUUCUUUCCCUCUUUAAUUGAAAGGUUUAUUCAAGUUAUUUGUAAAUUUAACAAUAACUAAGAUUCCAAGGCCCAUUACUCGGAAAGCCUUGAUUUCCUUGCUUAUUCUGUGCCUCUUAUCAAUACUCUUCAGAGCUUGGGGCUGAAGUAGCAUAAUGGGAGCAGGGAGGCAUUGUCUGCAUCUCCACAAGGACCCUGGCAUUUGGUAACAAAGCUACCAGGUUGUCUCUUU
rnacentral:lncRNA from 1 species